UACGUAGGCAGCGAGCGUUGUUCGGAGUUACUGGGCGUAAAGGGUGCGCAGGCGGUGGAGCAAGUCUGUUGUGAAAUCUCCCGGCUUAACCGGGAGGGUGCGGCGGAAACUGUUCUGCUGGAGUGAGGGAGAGGCAAGCGGAAUUCCUGGUGUAGCGGUGAAAUGCGUAGAUAUCGAGAGGAACACCUGCGGCGAAGGCGGGUUGCUGGGCUGACACUGACGCUGAUGCGCGAAAGCCAGGGGAGCGAACGGG
rnacentral:rRNA from 1 species